GAAUAAGGUAUAAAGGGCAUACGGUGAAUGCCUUGGCACCAGCAGCCGACGAAGGACGUGGCAAGCUGCGAAAAGCUGCGGAUAGGCGCAAGCGGCCUUUGACCCGCAGAUGUCCGAAUGGGGCAACCUGCCUGGAGGAAUCCAGGCGUCCAUAAGUGGAUGGAACCCGGCGAAGUGAAACAUCUCAGUAGCCGGAGGAAGAGAAAUCGAAGAGAUUCCCUGAGUAGUGGUGAGCGAAAGGGGAAUAGCCUAAACCGAUGGCAUGUAAGGCUGCGGUCGUUGUGUUGUCGGGGUUGUGGGAAUCCUCAUGUCAGCCCGCAGGCUGACGUUGGAGUUACAAAGUUGUUAUCUAGCCGAACUGUGUUGGGAAAGCAGGCCAUAGAAGGUGAUAGCCCAGUAGGCGACAGGUAACGACCUCUGAGAGGAUCUCCCGAGUAGGCCGGAGCACGUGGAAUUCCGGUUGAAUCAGGGUGGACCAUCAUCCAAGGCUAAAUACUGCUGGUGACCGAUAGAGAAUCAGUACCGAGAGGGAAAGGUGAAAAGCACCCCUGGCGGGGAGUGAAAUAGACCUGAACCCGUGUGCCUACAAGCAAUCGGAGCGCGAGUGGCAGCGAUGUUAUGAGCGUGACGGUGUGCCUUUUGUAAAAUGAGCCGACGAGUUAUUAGACGUAGCGAGGUUAAGGUGCGUUAGCACUGUAGCCGUAGGGAAACCGAGUCUUAAUAGGGCGUUAGUUUCGUUUAAUAGACCCGAAGCCGUACGAUCUAUCCAUGGCCAGGUUGAAGUCCGGGUGAAGCCGGAUGGAGGACCGAACCAGUAUCUGUUGAAAAAGAUUUGGAUGAGCUGUGGAUCGGAGUGAAAAGCUAAUCGAGUGCGGUGAUAGCUGGUUCUCCCCGAUAUGCAUUGAGGUGCAGCCUUGCGAGUUCAGAUAUGGGGGUAGAGCUCUGGAUGGAUGCGGGGGACUGGGGUCCUACCAAAUUCAACCAAACUUCGAAUACCAUAUCUGUAUUGCGGGAGUGAGACUACGGGUGAGAAGGUCCGUGGUCGUGAGGGAAACAGCCCAGACCGUCAGCUAAGGUCCCUAAGUGUAUGCUAAGUGUGGCAAGGAUGUGAGAGUGCCUGGACAGCCAGGAGGUUGGCUUAGAAGCAGCCACCCUUUAAAGAGUGCGUAACAGCUCACUGGUCGAGGACUUUUGCGCCGAAAAUGUAGGGGGCUAAGCAUACUGCCGAAGCUGCGGGAUAUGUGCGAAUGAGUAUAUAUCGGUAGGGGAGCGUUCCAUACGGGGUGAAGCCGAACCGCGAGGUCGCGUGGACUGUAUGGAAGUGAGAAUGUCGGCAUGAGUAACGCGAAGUGCGUGAGAAACGUACUCACCGAAAGCCCAAGGUUUCCUGGGGAAGGUUCAUCCUCCCAGGGUUAGGCGGGACCUAAGACGAGGCUGAAGAGCGUAGUCGAUGGACAGCAGGUAGACAUUCCUGCCCCGGCCUAUGCCGUUAUAACUGAAGGGGUGACACAGAAAGCUAGGUGCUCCGGGUGAUGGAAUACCCGGUCCAAGGAUGUAGGAAGGCGCUUCAGGCAAAUCCGAGGCGCUAUUUCUGAGGUCUGAUGGGGAGAUCCCACGGGAUCGAAGUCAUUGAAGCUCGGCUGUCGAGAAAAGCCUCUAGGGAGGUAUAGGCUGCCCGUACCCGAAACCGACGCAGGUGGGCUAGCUGAGAAGGCUCAGGUGAGCGGGAAAACCCUCGUUAAGGAACUCUGCAAGUUGACCCCGUAACCUAGGGAGAAGGGGUGCCACUCUGGUGAAGUGUAAAUCAUAUGGAGCUAAGGGUGGUCGCAGAAACCAGGCUCAGGCGACUGUUUACUAAAAACACAGGUCUCUGCAUAAGGCGUAAGCCGAAGUAUAGGGACUGACACCUGCCCGGUGCUGGAAGGUUAAAUGGAGAGGUUAGCGCAAGCGACGCUUUGAAAUGAAGCCCCAGUAAACGGCGGCCGUAACUAUAACGGUCCUAAGGUAGCGAAAUUCCUUGUCGGGUAAGUUCCGACCUGCACGAAUGGUGUAACGAUCUGAGCACUGUCUCAACGAGGGACCCGGUGAAAUUGUGGUACUGGUAAAGACGCCAGUUACCUGUGGUGGGACGGAAAGACCCCGUGGAGCUUUACUGUAGCCUGAUAUUGGAUUUUGGUCUGUCAUGUACAGGAUAGGUGGGAGGCAUAGAACGCAGGGCGUCAGCUUUGCGGGAGCCGCUGUUGGGAUACCACCCUUGACAUGCUGAAGUUCUAACUGUUUAGUCUGAAUCGGCUGGCAGGACAGUGUCAGGUGGGCAGUUUGACUGGGGCGGUCGCCUCCUAAAGAGUAACGGAGGCGCGCAAAGGUCACCUCAGGGCGUAUGGAAACCGCCCAUAGAGAGCGCAAAGGUAUAAGGUGGCUUGACUGUGAGAGAGACGUUUCGAACAGGAACGAAAGUUGGUCUUAGUGAUCCGGCGGUACCGAGUGGAAGGGCCGUCGCUCAACGGAUAAAAGCUACCCCGGGGAUAACAGGCUGAUCCUGCCCGAGAGUUCCUAUCGACGGCAGGGUUUGGCACCUCGAUGUCGGCUCGUCGCAUCCUGGGGCUGAAGCAGGUCCCAAGGGUUGGUCUGUUCGCCCAUUAAAGCGGUACGUGAGCUGGGUUUAGAACGUCGUGAGACAGUUCGGUCCCUAUCCACCAUAGGCGUAGGGUAUUUGAGGAGAUCUGCUUCUAGUACGAGAGGACCGAAGUGGACGAACCUCUGGUGUACCGGUUGUAGCGCCCGCUGCAUAAGCCGGGUAGCUAUGUUCGGGUCGGAUAACCGCUGAAGGCAUCUAAGCGGGAAGCCGCCUCCAAGAUGAGAUACCCCAUUCCGAUAGGGAAGUAAGGCGUCCUGAAGAUGACAGGAUUGAUAGGCCGGAAGUGUACGAGCUGAGAGGCUUUGAGCUGACCGGUACUAAUACGCCGAGGCCUUAUUCUC
rfam:Aminobacterium colombiense DSM 12261, complete genome.